GGCGGUGCAAAUCCGCCGCGGUCGCGCCACUGUCAGCGCCGCGCCUUACCCCCAAGGGAAAGGCGCGCGCGAGCCAGA
rnacentral:misc_RNA from 1 species